rnacentral:rRNA from 1 species
GACGAACGCUGGCGGCGUGCUUAAUACAUGCAAGUCGAGCGAGGUUACUGUUUCGGAUCCCUUCGGGGUGAAGAAGCUUUAACCUAGCGGCGGACGGGUGAGUAACGCGUGGGUAACCUACCCCAAAGUCCGGGAUAACAGCGGGAAACCGCUGCUAAUACCGGAUGCCUUUACCUUGGGGCAUCUUGAGGUAAAGAAAGGUAACGCUUUGGGAUGGGCCCGCGUCCCAUUAGCUAGUUGGUGAGGUAACGGCUCACCAAGGCGACGAUGGGUAGCCGGCCUGAGAGGGUGGACGGCCACACUGGGACUGAGACACGGCCCAGACUCCUACGGGAGGCAGCAGUAGGGAAUAUUGCGCAAUGGACGGAAGUCUGACGCAGCGACGCCGCGUGAGCGAUGAAGGUCUUCGGAUCGUAAAGCUCUGUCCUUGGGAAGAAGGCGAAAGCUUGACGGUACCAAGAAGAAAGCCCCGGCUAACUACGUG